AUAGAAUGUGACUUAAUUGAAUAUGCUUGCAACUAAAGGAUGCGCGGAUAAGAGUUAAGCAAGCAAUUUAUCUAAGUAAGUAAGUGAGUAAGUUAGACAAUGACAAGAAGCAUUACAAACACAACAAACAUAUAGUGGUUCGGUGCACCCCAGCACCUACAUCCACUCUCCAAGACCUCUUGGGAAUUUCACUAUAAUCCUACAGAUUACAGCCGGUUGUUUUACAAGCUCACAACCCAACUUGUUGUUUUGCGAGAUCACAACGAACUCGGUCGGUUUUUACAGGCUCACCGACUAGAACCAACCGAUUGUUUUUCCGGGUUCACAAUUAAACCCAGUUGGUUUUCCCACUGGCUCACCAACCACAACCUUACAACGAUUGUUUUCCGGGUUCACAAUCAACCCAGUUGGUUUUCCCAAAGGCUCACCAACCACAACCUAACACCGUUGGUUUUCCCUUUGGCUCACCAACAAACCUU
rnacentral:lncRNA from 1 species